rnacentral:rRNA from 1 species
UGGGGAAUUUUGGACAAUGGGCGAAAGCCUGAUCCAGCAAUGCCGCGUGUGUGAAGAAGGCCUUCGGGUUGUAAAGCACUUUUGUCCGGUAAAGAAAUCCUUGGCUCUAAUACAGUCGGGGGAUGACGGUACCGGAAGAAUAAGCACCGGCUAACUACGUGCCAGCAGCCGCGGUAAUAGCGUAGGGUGCAAGCGUUAAUCGGAAUUACUGGGCGUAAAGCGUGCGCAGGCGGUUUGCUAAGACCGAUGUGAAAUCCCCGGGCUCAACCUGGGAACUGCAUUUGGUGACUGGCAGGCUAGAGUAUGGCAGAGGGGGGUAGAAUUCCACGUNUAGCAGUGAAAUGCGUAGAGAUGUGGAGGAAUACCGAUGGCGAAGGCAGCCCCCUGGGCAAUACUGACGCUCAUGCACGAAAGCGUGGGGGAGCAAACAGGAUUAGAUACCCUGGUAGUCCACGCCCUAAACGAUGUCACUAGUUGUCGGGGAUUCAUUUCCUUAGUAACGUAGCUAACGCGUGAAGUCGACCGCCUGGGGAGUACGGUCGCAAGAUUAAAACUCAAAUGAAUUGAC